rnacentral:rRNA from 1 species
UACGGGGGGGGCAAGCGUGGUUCGGAAUUACUGGGCGUAAAGGGCUCGUAGGCGGCCAACUAAGUCGGAUGUGAAAUCCCCGGGCUUAACCUGGGAACUGCAUCCGAUACUGGAUGGCUUGAAUCCGGGAGAGGGAUGCAGAAUUCCAGGUGUAGCGGUGAAAUGCGUAGAUAUCUGGAGGAACACCGGUGGCGAAGGCGGGUCUCUGGGCCGUAACUGACGCUGAGGAGCGAAAGCAUGGGGAGCGAACAGG